rnacentral:rRNA from 1 species
GUCAUAAUUAUUCUUGAGUCUCUUCCAGAAGAGUUUGAACAAUUUAAGGUCAACUAUAACUCUCUAAAGGAAAAAUGGCAACUCUCUGAGAUGACCGCAAGGAUCGUCCAGGAGGAAGAGAGGAUCAUGAGGCAGAAGAAAGACCAUGUUUUUCAUGUUGGCUCUAACAAGAGAAAGCAUGACGGGCAAAGUUUCCCUAAGCCUCAGAAAAAGCAAGUCAAGAGAGAAAGCACUAAGCCAUUCAACCCUAAGGCAUUCGAAGGUAAAGAAGCCGGUAGUUCUUCUUCUGCUCCCAGCAGCUCCACUGCUGGAGAAAAUGCUUGUUACUUCUGCAAAGAGGAGGGACACUAUCAAAGGGACUGCCCAGGCUUUCUAAAAUGGAUGAACAAAAGAGGGAUUCGGUAUGAUCCAAACUAUAAG